ACAGGCCUAUGAUAAACGCAGUGGUGAGUUUUGAAAACAAUCUAUUGGAUAGUAAUGGAUAUUUUCUUCUCUUGUUGUUUUUAUAGAAAUAUGUGGUAAAGAUUUAGUGACAAAAUUGAGUUUAAGUGAAAUGGAUUACCAUGGUGAUUUCAAGUAAUAAUUACAAAUCUUAUGGCUUAGGUGGGCUAGAUUGUUUCUUUACAUUGGGCUAUUGUAGCUAUGUUGCUCUACACUUCGAUUGAUUUUGAAAUCUGUAUUUUUUUUUUUUUUACUUGAUGCUUUUAUCUUGACUCCAUGCUACGUCUUUUUCUUUGUGUUCCUCUCAUGGUUUUGAUAUUCUAAAACUCAACAAAUGUACUUUAUCAUGAAAUGCUCCAAUU
rnacentral:misc_RNA from 1 species